UCCAGACUCCUACGGGAGGCAGCAGUGGGGGAUAUUGCACAAUGGGGGAAACCCUGAUGCAGCGACGCCGCGUGAGUGAAGAGGUAUUUCGGUAUGUAAAGCUCUAUCAGCAGGGAAGAAAAAAGACGGUACCUGACUAAGAAGCCCCGGCUAACUACGUGCCAGCAGCCGCGGUAAUACGUAGGGGGCAAGCGUUAUCCGGAUUUACUGGGUGUAAAGGGAGCGUAGACGGCAAUACAAGUCGGAAGUGAAAUACCCGGGCUCAACCUGGGAACUGCUUUGGAAACUGUAUGGCUGGAGUGCUGGAGAGGUAAGCGGAAUUCCUAGUGUAGCGGUGAAAUGCGUAGAUAUUAGGAGGAACACCAGUGGCGAAGGCGGCUUACUGGACAGUAACUGACGUUGAGGCUCGAAAGCGUGGGGAGCAAACAGGAUUAGAUACCCGUGUA
rnacentral:rRNA from 1 species